AGAACGAACGCUGGCGGCGUGGAUAAGACAUGCAAGUCGAGCGCUGAUCAAAGGGUAGCAAUAUCUUUUGGUCGGAGCGGCGCAAGGGUGCGUAACACGUGGGUAAUUUGCCAUGAAGUUGGGGAUAACUUGCUGAAAGGCGAGCUAAUACCGAAUGUGGCCCGAGGAAGGCAUCUUUCUUUGGCUAAAGCUGGGGACCGUAAGGCCUGACGCCUCAUGAUGAACCCGCGGCCUAUCAGCUAGUUGGCGGGGUAACGGCCCACCAAGGCGAAGACGGGUAGCUGGUCUGAGAGGACGACCAGCCACACUGGAACUGAGACACGGUCCAGACACCUACGGGUGGCAGCAGUCGAGUAAUUUUCACAA
rnacentral:rRNA from 1 species